rnacentral:rRNA from 1 species
UACGGAGGGUGCAAGCGUUAUCCGGAUUCACUGGGUUUAAAGGGUGCGUAGGUGGGCUAGUAAGUCCGUGGUGAAAUCCCCAAGCUUAACUUGGAAACUGCCGUGGAUACUAUUAGUCUUGAAUCUCGUGGAGGUAAGCGGAAUAUGUCAUGUAGCGGUGAAAUGCUUAGAUAUGACAUAGAACACCGAUAGCGAAGGCAGCUUGCUACGCGAGUAUUGACACUGAGGCACGAAAGCGUGGGGAUCAAACAGG